CAGCAGCCGCCACGGGAAUACGUAGGUGGCAAGCGUUGUCCGGAAUUAUUGGGCGUAAAGGGCUCGCAGGCGGUCUCUUAAGUCUGAUGUGAAAGCCCCCGGCUCAACCGGGGAGGGUCAUUGGAAACUGGGAAACUUGAGUGCAGAAGAGGAGAGUGGAAUUCCACGUGUAGCGGUGAAAUGCGUAGAGAUGUGGAGGAACACCAGUGGCGAAGGCGACUCUCUGGUCUGUAACUGACGCUGAGGAGCGAAAGCGUGGGGAGCGAACAGGAUUAGAUACCCCAGUAGUCCCUGUCUCUUAUAA
rnacentral:rRNA from 1 species